CUCUGGUAACUUUGCCUUUGUGCUAUGAGACUUGGUUGUAGGUGAAACCGUCUUUGAAGAGAACCUUUUGGGUAUUAACUGAAAAAGGCACAAAAAGGUGCCUGCCUUCUUUUUCAAUUGAGUUUUUGCAGUAUUAAAAAGGGUUAAAGGAUAUAAUGAUCUAGUAGGAAAAUAAGUUAAUUAUGAGAUAUUCAUCAUGAUUAUUUAAGCUUUUUAUCCAGCCAGGUGUGUAUUUCUUUACAUUUUGUUUUAAGUUGUUUUUUUUAUUGCCAGGUCUGAAUUGGGGCUUAAACUGGAGUUGAAGUGUCCACUGAGGCAUAUUUCUUUUCAAAAGACUGCUUAUCAAUAACAGCUGUAGUACUGUGGCUUUUCUCCAUGGACGCAUGGUGGUCUUUGGAACAACGUUCUUCAAUUUUGACAGUUUCUUACGUUAAAGAUUACAUGUAUGGGUCUUCUGAAUCAUGCUGAAUCAAACGGUGCGUUUUCAUCUUGAUCAUGUAAUUAUUAUGUAUUGUAAAUAGUUUUAUAAGGUACCCUGAGAUCCUUUUAGGGAUAAGGUUGGAAUCCAAAUAAAUCUUCAUUAUAGACUACCCCCACAGUAUCAUAAGUCUCAAUAUUUAAUUUACCUAGUUAAUUUUUACUAAUAAGAAAGAUGUGAAGAAAUUUGAUUAGUGAUUGUGAUGAGCUGUUUUCCCUC